rnacentral:rRNA from 1 species
UACGUAGGGUGCGAGCGUUGUCCGGAAUUAUUGGGCGUAAAGGGCUCGUAGGCGGUUUGUCGCGUCGGGAGUGAAAACCUCGGGCUUAACUCGGGGCUUGCUUUCGAUACGGGCAGACUAGAGGUAUGCAGGGGAGAACGGAAUUCCUGGUGUAGCGGUGAAAUGCGCAGAUAUCAGGAGGAACACCGGUGGCGAAGGCGACUACCUGGCCUGUUCUUGACGCUGAGGCGCGAAAGCUAGGGGAGCAAACGGG